UUAACUAACGUCGCACAUACAUCGUCACAUGAGUUCUGGGUGCCUCUCUGAAGCAGUAUUUUAGAUUGGUUGAGCCAUGGGGUGUAUGGAGGCCUAAC
rnacentral:sRNA from 1 species